AUACGGAGGGGGCGAGCGUUAAUCGGAAUUACUGGGCGUAAAGCGUGCGCAGGUGGUUUUGUAAGUCAGAUGUGAAAUCCCCGGGCUUAACCUGGGAACUGCGUUUGAAACUGCAAGGCUAGAGUGUGGCAGAGGGGGGUGGAAUUCCGCGUGUAGCAGUGAAAUGCGUAGAGAUGUGGAGGAACACCGAUGGCGAAGGCAGCCCCCUGGGUCAACACUGACGCUCAGGCACGAAAGCAUGGGGAGCAAACAGGAUUAGAUACCCCGGUAGUCC
rnacentral:rRNA from 1 species